GAUGAACGCUAGCUACAGGCUUAACACAUGCAAGUCGAGGGACCGGCGCACGGGUGAGUAACACGUAUCCAAACUGCCCUUUACUCGGGGAUCGCCUUUCGAAAGAAAGAUUAAUACCCGAUGUAAAGGAUGGGGAUGCGUUCCAUUAGGUUGUUGGUGAGGUAACGGCUCACCAAGCCUUCGAUGGAUAGGGGUUCUGAGAGGAAGGGCCCCCACAUUGGAACGUAGACACGGUCCAAACUCCUACGGGAGGCAGCAGUGAGGAAUAUUGGUCGAUGGGCGUUAGCCGGAACCAGCCAAGUAGCGUGAAGGAUGAAGGCUUAUGGGUCGUAAACUUCUUUUAUAUAAGAAUAUGUAUUAUAUGAAUAAGGAUCGGCUAACUCCGUGCCAGCCGCCGCGGUAAUUC
rnacentral:rRNA from 1 species